rnacentral:lncRNA from 1 species
UAUAUAUAUAUAUAUAUAAAAUUGAACUCUUAUGUUUUUAAAAGUACCAAGUCAUUAAUACUUAGUAAAUUUUCGGCUUUUGGAUUAAGGAAUGUGCGGUUAAAAUAAUAUGGGCCCCUUAGGGUUGAGUGAGUGGUUGGUUGAAUAGUAUAGUCUAACGGUUAAAAAUGAUCAAAAGCGUAGAUCUAACGGUAAAAAAUUUACAAGCGUGCUUUGUACUUUUACAAGUACCGUAGCCAGACUCUCUCUCUCUCUCUCUCUCUCUCUCUCUCUCUCUCUCUCUCUCUAUAUAUAUAUAUAUAUAUAUAUAUCUAUCUAUCUAUCUAUAUAUAUACUAAUCUAUGAAUCCCCAAUAUGUUGCUGACAUGACGUUACCUCCUUCUUUCAAAACUGCUCGCUUUUAUCUCCCAACCUCCAAAACCCCUCAUCUUCAAAACCGUUCCCUCCUUAUCUCCCAAUAAAACUAUAAUUGAAUGUAUAUAAUUGCACCAAAACUAUUCUCUCACAUCUCCCAACCUCCAAAACCCCUCAUCUUCCAAAACCGUUCCCUCCUCAUCUCCCAAUAAAACCACAAUUGAAUGCAUGUACUUCAACAAAAUUUUGUUGUUAUAGAAGGUUUGAUUCCUUAUAGCUCUACUUCUA